CCGCGGGCACCGGGGCUGGAACCGACCGGCGGGACCGUGGACCCGCAGUUCCAGCCUCUCCGGACUGCCCGCCCGUCCGUCGGACUGCUCCCCACCCGGUCCCGGCAGACCCGGCAGCGCCCGCGAACCCCGAGCCGGUUCCGGAGCGGCGCGACCCGACGGGGCGGCAGCCGGAGCCGAGCAGGGGAGCCGGGCGGCGGGAGCGGGCGAUGUUUUGAGACCGUCGAGCAGCAGGUCUGCGGAGCGCCGGGCUGUGGCUGCCGAGGGCAGCCCUGCAGCGACAGGAGGGUAUGGCACGGAGACGUCGUACCCCGGCUCGUCCCGGCGCGCAGGCGUGGCAUCACUUUCACUUGUUGCCUUGACAUGCAGGGAGUCGUGCCUUCACAGAUACCUCCUGUAACGCUGGCUUCCAUGAAACAGACCAAAUGCUUCAGAAAAGGCAGAUUUUUAUCGAUUAAGAAGUUUCACCUUGCAUUUCCUGGAAGACUCAGAAUCCGUUUGUUCCUCAAGUGGAGCAAGCGCUGUUGCUCCGGAAGAGCAGCACGAUGCUGUGAAGGAGAAUGCAAUUAGAGGGAUGGAGACAUCCGUGGGCUGACCAUCUUGAACGCUUCUGGGAUAGCGUUAAUCCUCCUCUCUCUUCCUCUCUGGAGCAGCCGCAGGUGUCCCUGCCAGGGCCAGUGGCGAGGCUUGCCGCUGCAUUCUGCAGGCGGUGGCUAACCACUCGCUCCUUCCCAGACUGCUCCAAGGCUUUUCUGCUCCUCCGCCGCUGGCCUAGGCAUCGCUGUCUUCCAGGAGACAAUUUUAAGACUUGAAAGUUUCAGCACAGUAACUCGCCAGCAGCGCUGCACAGAUCCGGCUGCACCUUGGGAGUAGUAUAUAAUCGGCCUGUGGCGAAUACGGAAAUAAUAUCAGCCUAAAUAUUUUGACAGUAAAAACAGUGAGUUGAUUGAAAUGGUGAGGUCCUAUGCUGGCUGCAGCGUUCUACAGGUUCAUGGUGCAAAUGUUCACUAUUUGUUAAAGUCGGAAGGCGGCUCAACCCUGCUUUCUAACUUGGACCCCGUUCUGGGCUAAAGGCACCCCGGGGCUGCCAAGCGGCUUUCGGUGCGGUGCUGGGGAGCGCUAGCAGCGGGGUGCCCCAGCAGCGGGGUGCCCCGGGCUGUGCAGUGCUAGCAGCGGGGUGCCCCCGGCUGCGACCCGACGGUGCUAGCGGCAGGGUGCCCUGGGCUGUGACCAGCACCGUCGGUCGCACAGGGUCCCAGUCACCCAGCCGAGUAGAAGGAAGCCUCUCUCAAAUGUACCGAGUAGUGAAAAGUAUAUUUUACAAAACAUAGUUUUACUUUCAAUCUUUGGGUUUUGGUCAUCUUGGGGGAAGCAGGGAAAGGCAUUAUUUAAAUAGUUGUAGCUGCAGGGGAUUAUUUUCUAAAUUAACAAUAGUAAUUGCUCCUGCCAAAUCCAAAGUUGAGGGGAUUCAUUUAUUUCUACUCUCAAGACAAUAGCACAAUUUUGGGUUUCAUAUU